rnacentral:rRNA from 1 species
GACGAACGCUGGCGGCGUGCUUAACACAUGCAAGUCGAACGGAAAGGCCCUGCUUUUGUGGGGUGCUCGAGUGGCGAACGGGUGAGUAACACGCGAGUAACCUGCCCUUGACUUUGGGAUAACUUCAGGAAACUGGGGCUAAUACCGGAUAGGAGCUCCUGCUGCAUGGUGGGGGUUGGAAAGUUUCGGCGGUUGGGGAUGGACUCGCGGCUUAUCAGCUUGUUGGUGGGGUAGUGGCUUACUAAGGCUUUGACGGGUAGCCGGCCUGAGAGGGUGACCGGCCACAUUGGGACUGAGAUACGGCCCAGACUCCUACGGGAGGCAGCAGUGGGGAAUAUUGCACAAUGGGCGGAAGCCUGAUGCAGCAACGCCGCGUGCGGGAUGACGGCCUUCGGGUUGUAAACCGCUUUCGCCUGUGACGAAGCGUGAGUGACGGUAAUGGGUAAAGAAGCACCGGCUAACUACGUG